rnacentral:lncRNA from 1 species
CUCAUCCAAAAUAGGUCCGAUUCGAAUCUGAUUCGAAGCUGGUUCGAAAUAAUUUUGAAAGGCUGUCAAUCCUAAACUCUUUAGGACUUUUGUACCAAAUCUAACUUAAAUUUUGGAUCCAUUUAAGUCAAAUUAAUUUAGAUCUAAUCUGAAAUUAAUUAAUACUUAAAUUCAAUCUUUCAUAUAUUCUAUGAUAGAUCAAAAACUGUUUAUCCCCG